GGCAACCCAGGCCCGUUCACUUGAAUGGGGCUGAGCUGCAACUAAGCCAUGUGACCGAUGAACGUGACAUAAAUUGCUCCUGAGGAUAAGUCGUCAGUAAUCCACUCCAGGAAAACUCCUUUAGGUGCAUGACAUGAGGUGUUGAAGAGCUCCAUGAAAUAAUAGUUCUGGAGCUUCUUUACUUGGAAAUCUGCAUUGUGCCAUUCCUGUGUUAUUCCUCCUGGAAAUGUAUGACCACAUUGACAGCUAGCUGUCAGGUUCUUUAUAAAUUAUUAGCGAACACUUUGUUACUUAUGCACUUAUUUAUUGACUGUCAGUAUUUUUUUCUUUUGUGGUUGAUUAUGUGUAAGCAUUUUACAUAUAUUGUAGUACUAUUCAGCGGCAGAUCAUUCUUAGUUUUCUGCCUUAUGCAUGUUUUUUUUUAUGAAUCUCUAGUACACAGCCAUAAUACAGCCCCCAUAAAAAUCUAAAGUGUACCUACGUAUGUCUCAGAUUUAAAGGGGUUUUCUGGUUCUUAGGCAAUGAGGACCUGUCCUCCCAGGUAGGUCAUCUAUAUCAGAUUGGUGGGGGUUCAACACCUGGCACCCCCACUGAGCUGCUGUUUUGUGCAGCCCUCUACGCCGGAAACUAUACAGUGGAUGGCAGGUUCCGUGCGGUACCCUGGCACAGUCACUACACAGUGGACUUGGCCUUCUGCUUAUUGCUCCAUCUACUGUAUAGUUUCCAGCUGAUCGGUGGGGAUGCAGGGUGUCACACCCCCACCAAUCUGAUAUUGAUAGCCUAUCAGUUUCCAAGUAUCAGAAAACCUUUUAAUCCCAUGUUCCACCGGAUGCUUCUUGGGCAUGAUGCGGUAGCGUAUGGUGGCGCAUGGAGUGCCUGUCGCUCAGUAGUAUGGCACCACAGGAAUUUCUGAAGCUGGACACCUUAGACUUGAAUAUGACAACAUGCAAAGCUUUCUCAUGCCAUUAUGUUGAGGAGAAAGGGUUGUAUGAAAUGUCCCUGUCCAUGGCUUCUGUUUGCCAUUGCAGUCCAACCUCAUCCAAGUGAGCAAUACCCCACACAGCCCAUAAAUCUCAUACAGUACCUUUAAUUAAACCAGCGAUGCUCAUCCUGCAGCCCGCCAGUUAUUGCAAAACUACAACUCCCAGCAUGCCCUUAUAGCCGUAGGCUGUCCAAGCAUGCUGGGAGUUGUAAUUUUGCAAUGGCUGGAGGACCACAGGUUGGGCAUCCCUGAAUUAAACUGAUGUCAUUCAUGGUCGCUCAGAAGCAGCUCUUUGCAGAGGCACUUAUUUGGCCUAUAAAUGGGGUCUGGUACUUAACCUAUCCCCCUACUUCUUCCAUGAUGUCCCUAUGACUUAAAGGGAUUCUGUCACCAGGAUUUACCCUACCGAGAUAUUCAUAUGUGCCCAUCAGUCUCCUUGUUUUGUAUUAAAUGAUCCCACUCUUACUGC